rnacentral:misc_RNA from 1 species
AAAAGUCGUAACAAGGUUUCCGUAGGUGAACCUGCGGAAGGAUCAUUAACAAAUUCCAAAACACGUGUUGAUCAUCUGAACUUGAGUGUGUCGAGACCGCGCAGUUCCGCUGUGUGUCUUGUGCCUCAAGGGAAGGUGAUCAAUUACAAACACAACACUUUGAUAGACAAUACAACGGAGAUUAUCUAAUUAAUCGUUAAACAACUUUUAACAAUGGAUCUCUUGGCUCUC